rnacentral:tRNA from 1 species
GGAGAUUUAGCUCAGUGGUAGAGCGUUUGCCUAGCAAGCGCAAGGCCCUGGGUUCGGUCCCCAGCUCUG